GUACACGCUGUGACUAGCAUAUCAAUAAGCGGAGGAAAAGAAACUAACAAGGAUUCCCCUAGUAACGGCGAGUGAAGCGGGAAGAGCUCAAAUUUGAAAUCUUAAAGGGUUUCCCUUUACGAAUUGUAGUUUAAAGAAGUGUUUUCUGUUGAGGUUUUGGUAAAAGUUCUUUGGAAUAGGACAUCAUAGAGGGUGAGAAUCCCGUAUUUGACCUUUACUUUCAACUUUGUGAUACACUUUCAAAGAGUCGGAUUGUUUGGGAAUGCAGUCCAAAAUGGGUGGUAAAUUUCAUCUAAAGCUAAAUAUUGGCGAGAGACCGAUAGCGAACAAGUACCGUGAGGGAAAGAUGAAAAGAACUUUGAAAAGAGAGUUAAACAGUACGUGAAAUUGUCAAAAGGGAAGCGCUUGACACCAGUGUUGUUUUUCUGAAAAUCAAUUAAAGGACUGUUUAUGCUAAGCUGUUUAGACUUUAUCAGCUAUCUGUUUAGUUUUGAGCUUUUCUUUAAUGCACUUUUCAGUUAACAAGUCAACAUCAAUUUCUUUUGCUGUAAAAAAGCUUGAGGAAGGUGGCUUGAGAUUCGUCUUAAGUGUUUAUAGCCUCUUGCCUAUGCAGUCGGAGAGAUUGAGGUCUGCAGCGUAGAUCCUUCGGGGCUAAAUGCAUUUGUGCUAAGUUAUAGCAUUUUAUAGACAACUUGUUGACUAUGAUUUGUCUUGUAGCUUACUCGCUUAUGUUAUUUUACCUACGCUUAGGAUGUUGAAGAUGUAGCACAUCAU
rnacentral:rRNA from 1 species